CGACGGCUCUGCGCCGGGGUCACAGGUGACGCGCGAGGAGUCCCAGGCCAGUGGGCGAGGCGCACCCGAGAGGGUGCCAGGCUGUGCAGAGUUCCUGGGACAACUCUCUGAAAGUCACCAAGCUAAGGGCAGCCCUUGGCAAGCAUGAGUGCCGUGGUCAGACCUUCCGCCAACCGGACAAGGACCUAUGGGAUGAGCCUCCUGAGGGCCAUCUCUGGAGACUUCCUAUAGGCAGAUGAUGACAGAUAUGGCUCUUUUGUGUGCUCCUUCCACCUCAGUGAGGCUUCAGAGAAAGCCAGGACUGCCAUGGGCUUAUUUGUGGGGCCAGGGAUAUGCCCCUCUAGGGGCCUUCUAGAGCAUCCCACACGGGGUCUAUGUAUUGGUGCGGGGUCCAGAGCCUGCAGAGCUGACUUACUUCCGGCCAGCAACUUCCUGUGGCCUGCAGUGAACUGGGGUGCUCUUGGUUGGGCUUAGAGAACACUUUCAGUGAUGGGGGUGAGUAGCUCUGAGACCAGUAAGGGCCCCUGCAGCAGCCCAAAGCAUAACAUGGCCCUUCCUCUGGCUGGACCCACCCGGGCCGGGGAGGAUGACAGCGACCCUAUGGGGUCCUGCCUCAGCAUCCCCUGGGGAGGUGUACUGGCUUGGCCCUGCCCUGCCCGCCCUGCCAAGGACUGGACAGCAGCAAAGACCUCAGUUCUUUUUCUGCACAGCCCACGCCAGUGUUUUCAAAGUACAGUUUAAAACUCAAAAGUAAAAUUUUCAGCACUUCCAA